AGGUUGGGUAACACUAACUGGAGGACCGAACCGACUAAUGUUGAAAAAUUAGCGGAUGACUUGUGGCUGGGGGUGAAAGGCCAAUCAAACCGGGAGAUAGCUGGUUCUCCCCGAAAGCUAUUUAGGUAGCGCCUCGUGAAUUCAUCUCCGGGGGUAGAGCACUGUUUCGGCAAGGGGGUCAUCCCGACUUACCAACCCGAUGCAAACUGCGAAUACCGGAGAAUGUUAUCACGGGAGACACACGGCGGGUGCUAACGUCCGUCGUGAAGAGGGAAACAACCCAGACCGCCAGCUAAGGUCCCAAAGUCAUGGUUAAGUGGGAAACGAUGUGGGAAGGCCCAGACAGCCAGGAUGUUGGCUUAGAAGCAGCCAUCAUUUAAAGAAAGCGUAAUAGCUCACUGGUCGAGUCGGCCUGCGCGGAAGAUGUAACGGGGCUAAACCAUGCACCGAAGCUGCGGCAGCGACGCUUAUGCGUUGUUGGGUAGGGGAGCGUUCUGUAAGCCUGUGAAGGUGUGCUGUGAGGCAUGCUGGAGGUAUCAGAAGUGCGAAUGCUGACAUAAGUAACGAUAAAGCGGGUGAAAAGCCCGCUCGCCGGAAGACCAAGGGUUCCUGUCCAACGUUAAUCGGGGCAGGGUGAGUCGACCCCUAAGGCGAGGCCGAAAGGCGUAGUCGAUGGGAAACAGGUUAAUAUUCCUGUACUUGGUGUUACUGCGAAGGGGGGACGGAGAAGGCUAUGUUGGCCGGGCGACGGUUGUCCCGGUUUAAGCGUGUAGGCUGGUUUUCCAGGCAAAUCCGGAAAAUCAAGGCUGAGGCGUGAUGACGAGGCACUACGGUGCUGAAGCAACAAAUGCCCUGCUUCCAGGAAAAGCCUCUAAGCAUCAGGUAACAUCAAAUCGUACCCCAAACCGACACAGGUGGUCAGGUAGAGAAUACCAAGGCGCUUGAGAGAACUCGGGUGAAGGAACUAGGCAAAAUGGUGCCGUAACUUCGGGAGAAGGCACGCUGAUAUGUAGGUGAAGUCCCUCGCGGAUGGAGCUGAAAUCAGUCGAAGAUACCAGCUGGCUGCAACUGUUUAUUAAAAACACAGCACUGUGCAAACACGAAAGUGGACGUAUACGGUGUGACGCCUGCCCGGUGCCGGAAGGUUAAUUGAUGGGGUCAGCGCAAGCGAAGCUCUUGAUCGAAGCCCCGGUAAACGGCGGCCGUAACUAUAACGGUCCUAAGGUAGCGAAAUUCCUUGUCGGGUAAGUUCCGACCUGCACGAAUGGCGUAAUGAUGGCCAGGCUGUCUCCACCCGAGACUCAGUGAAAUUGAACUCGCUGUGAAGAUGCAGUGUACCCGCGGCAAGACGGAAAGACCCCGUGAACCUUUACUAUAGCUUGACACUGAACAUUGAGCCUUGAUGUGUAGGAUAGGUGGGAGGCUUAGAAGUGUGGACGCCAGUCUGCAUGGAGCCGACCUUGAAAUACCACCCUUUAAUGUUUGAU
rnacentral:rRNA from 1 species